CGCGGCCUAUCAGCUUGUUGGUGAGGUAAUAGCUCACCAAGGCUAUGACGGGUAGCUGGUCUGAGAGGACGACCAGUCACAAUGGGACUGAGACACGGCCCAUACUCCUACGGGAGGCAGCAGUAAAGAAUCUUCCACAAUGGGCGAAAGCCUGAUGGAGCAAUACCGCGUGAACGAUGAAGGCCGAAAGGUCGUAAAGUUCUUUUCUGAGGGAAGAAAUCUGACGGUACCUUAGGAAUAAGCACCGGCUAACUCCGUGCCAGCAGCCGCGGUAAUACGGAGGGUGCAAGCGUUACCCGGAAUUAUUGGGCGUAAAGCGUCCGCAGGCGGCUAACCCAGCCAAAUAUUAAAUCUUAUAGCCCAACUAUGAGGCUGUAUUCGAAACUAGUUAGCUAGAGACUUUCAGGGGCAUGCGGAAUUCUGUGUGUAGGGGUAAAAUCCGUAGAUACACAGAGGAACACCAAAAGCGAAGGCAGCAUGCUGGGGAAGUUCUGACGCUCAUGGACGAAAGCGUGGGUAGCGAACGGGAUUAGAUACCCCGGUAGUCCACGCCGUAAACGAUGGAUACUAGUUGUUGGAGGACUCGACCCCUUCAGUGACGACGCUAACGCAUUAAGUAUCCCGCCUGGGGAGUACGGA
rnacentral:rRNA from 1 species